rnacentral:rRNA from 1 species
AGACCCGAAACCCGGUGAUCUAGCCAUGGGCAGGUUGAAGGUUGGGUAACACUAACUGGAGGACCGAACCGACUAAUGUUGAAAAAUUAGCGGAUGACUUGUGGCUGGGGGUGAAAGGCCAAUCAAACCGGGAGAUAGCUGGUUCUCCCCGAAAGCUAUUUAGGUAGCGCCUCGUGAAUUCAUCUCCGGGGGUAGAGCACUGUUUCGGCAAGGGGGUCAUCCCGACUUACCAACCCGAUGCAAACUGCGAAUACCGGAGAAUGUUAUCACGGGAGACACACGGCGGGUGCUAACGUCCGUCGUGAAGAGGGAAACAACCCAGACCGCCAGCUAAGGUCCCAAAGUCAUGGUUAAGUGGGAAACGAUGUGGGAAGGCCCAGACAGCCAGGAUGUUGGCUUAGAAGCAGCCAUCAUUUAAAGAAAGCGUAAUAGCUCACUGGUCGAGUCGGCCUGCGCGGAAGAUGUAACGGGGCUAAACCAUGCACCGAAGCUGCGGCAGCGACACUGUGUGUUGUUGGGUAGGGGAGCGUUCUGUAAGCCUGUGAAGGUGUGCUGUGAGGCAUGCUGGAGGUAUCAGAAGUGCGAAUGCUGACAUAAGUAACGAUAAAGCGGGUGAAAAGCCCGCUCGCCGGAAGACCAAGGGUUCCUGUCCAACGUUAAUCGGGGCAGGGUGAGUCGACCCCUAAGGCGAGGCCGAAAGGCGUAGUCGAUGGGAAACAGGUUAAUAUUCCUGUACUUGGUGUUACUGCGAAGGGGGGACGGAGAAGGCUAUGUUGGCCGGGCGACGGUUGUCCCGGUUUAAGCGUGUAGGCUGGUUUUCCAGGCAAAUCCGGAAAAUCAAGGCUGAGGCGUGAUGACGAGGCACUACGGUGCUGAAGCAACAAAUGCCCUGCUUCCAGGAAAAGCCUCUAAGCAUCAGGUAACAUCAAAUCGUACCCCAAACCGACACAGGUGGUCAGGUAGAGAAUACCAAGGCGCUUGAGAGAACUCGGGUGAAGGAACUAGGCAAAAUGGUGCCGUAACUUCGGGAGAAGGCACGCUGAUAUGUAGGUGAAGUCCCUCGCGGAUGGAGCUGAAAUCAGUCGAAGAUACCAGCUGGCUGCAACUGUUUAUUAAAAACACAGCACUGUGCAAACACGAAAGUGGACGUAUACGGUGUGACGCCUGCCCGGUGCCGGAAGGUUAAUUGAUGGGGUCAGCGCAAGCGAAGCUCUUGAUCGAAGCCCCGGUAAACGGCGGCCGUAACUAUAACGGUCCUAAGGUAGCGAAAUUCCUUGUCGGGUAAGUUCCGACCUGCACGAAUGGCGUAAUGAUGGCCAGGCUGUCUCCACCCGAGACUCAGUGAAAUUGAACUCGCUGUGAAGAUGCAGUGUACCCGCGGCAAGACGGAAAGACCCCGUGAACCUUUACUAUAGCUUGACACUGAACAUUGAGCCUUGAUGUGUAGGAUAGGUGGGAGGCUUUGAAGUGUGGACGCCAGUCUGCAUGGAGCCGACCUUGAAAUACCACCCUUUAAUGUUUGAUGUUCUAACGUGGACCCGUGAUCCGGGUUGCGGACAGUGUCUGGUGGGUAGUUUGACUGGGGCGGUCUCCUCCUAAAGAGUAACGGAGGAGCACGAAGGUUGGCUAAUCCUGGUCGGACAUCAGGAGGUUAGUGCAAUGGCAUAAGCCAGCUUGACUGCGAGCGUGACGGCGCGAGCAGGUGCGAAAGCAGGUCAUAGUGAUCCGGUGGUUCUGAAUGGAAGGGCCAUCGCUCAACGGAUAAAAGGUACUCCGGGGAUAACAGGCUGAUACCGCCCAAGAGUUCAUAUCGACGGCGGUGUUUGGCACCUCGAUGUCGGCUCAUCACAUCCUGGGGCUGAAGUAGGUCCCAAGGGUAUGGCUGUUCGCCAUUUAAAGUGGUACGCGAGCUGGGUUUAGAACGUCGUGAGACAGUUCGGUCCCUAUCUGCCGUGGGCGCUGGAGAACUGAGGGGGGCUGCUCCUAGUACGAGAGGACCGGAGUGGACGCAUCACUGGUGUUCGGGUUGUCAUGCCAAUGGCACUGCCCGGU